CUUGUCCCUGCACAGACAGCCAGCAGUCCCACCCCGGGCACCCUGGCAGCGCUGUCCAAACGCCCCUGGAGCUCUGUGGGGCCGUGCCCAUUCCCUGGGGAGCUGGGAGUGCCAGCACCCUCUGGGGAAGAGCCUUUCCCUGCUCUCCAGCCUAAACCCCUCCAGACACAGCUCCAGCCGUUCCCUCGGUCCCGCCGCUGUCACAGGGAGCAGUGCCCGGAGCUGCCCCUCGGGAGGAGCUGCAGCCCCGGUGAGCUCUGGCAGGCUGAAGAGGCCGAGUGCCCGCAGCCACUCCUGGUGUGGCCCCUGCAGACCCCAGCCCUCUCCAUCCAGACACAUUCGGGAAUGUUUUCCAGCCUGGCUGUGCUCAGGAGCUCCCAGGAACAGUGCACUGCUGCGAAAGAAGGGUUUGUGAUCCAGCUGGCACUUGUCCAUCCUGUCCCUGGGUUACAGGGCACCCAUCUCAGUUUAAAACAUCCUGAGGAACAACAUGAGUCUCCAGCAGGAAGCAAGGAUUGCAUUUUCAGGGCUGCUCUUACAUCUCUGCCAUAGAUUAACACUCGUUGCCACUAGAUGUUUUCAGUCCCAAGGCAGUCCUUGAGCUGCGGGACCCCAGAGCGAUUGGCACAGGCACCGGUUGUGCAAUUCUCUUUCUGAGGGCGCUGAAGUACAAUGAGGCAAGGUAGUGGGUCGGAGUUCUGAGCUGGUUUAACAGGCACCACUGACAUGGCUAACGGAACAAACUCCUCUGACUAUUUCUGGUCUUAUGAAUACUACUGGGAUUACAUAGAUCCAAUUCCAGUAGAUGGAAGCAAGUUGAAGGUUAAUAAAUGGCAUGUGACACAAUCCCUCUGCUGUGCCCACAGACUCCAUCGUCAUCGCCUUCUGGGUGGGCCUCGCUGCCUUCGUGACCUUUCUUUUCCUUGUUCUGCUGUGUAUGUCCUGCUCUGGAUCCACGCCAGCAAACACGGCCACGAACGGGAGCGCGGGGUCGAGCAGGAGCUCUUUAGGCUGUGACUGCAGGCGCACUAAUUAAUGGGCACGAGAGCACCCAGGGCAGAUCCUGGUGCAAGGACCGAGCGCUUGCCAGCGGAAUGUGUUGGAAUCCCUCUGCGAUCCCAGCAGUAUGAAGUUUGGGAAUGCUGCGGGACAUGCUCAAGGAGUCAGUAAUGUUUUUUCAAAGAAACCCACCACGGAGUGGUGGAAGAAAACAAUAAACAAUAUUGCCUAUUUA